UGUUAUUUUAUGGGCCUAGAUAACUCUCA
rnacentral:piRNA from 1 species